rnacentral:rRNA from 1 species
CCUAACACAUGCAAGUCGCACGCGAAAGGGGGCAACCCCGAGUAGAGUGGCGGAUGGUGCGUAACGCGUAGGAAUAUACCUGGUAGUGGGGGACAACCCGGCGAAAGCCGGGCUAAUACCGCAUACGAUCUACGGAUGAAAGCAGGGGACCGCAAGGCCUUGCACUAUCAGAUUAGCCUGCGUCGGAUUAGCUAGUUGGUGAGGUAAAGGCUCACCAAGGCAACGAUCCGUAGCUGGUUUGAGAGAACGACCAGCCACACUGGGACUGAGACACGGCCCAGACUCCUACGGGAGGCAGCAGUGGGGAAUAUUGGACAAUGGGGGCAACCCUGAUCCAGCAAUGCCGCGUGUGUGAAGAAGGCCUUCGGGUUGUAAAGCACUUUCGAUGGGGAAAAACAAGUCAGACCUAACACGUCUGGCCCUGAUGGUACCCAGAGAAGAAGCACCGGCUAACUCUGUGCCAGCAGCCGCGGUAAUACAGAGGGUGCAAGCGUUAAUCGGAAUUACUGGGCGUAAAGGGUGCGUAGGUGGUUUGUUAAGUCAGGCGUGAAAUCCCUGGGCUCAACCUGGGAACUGCGUUUGAUACUGGCAGACUCGAGUCUGGUAGAGGGUAGUGGAAUUCCGCAUGUAGCGGUGAAAUGCGUAGAUAUGCGGAGGAACAUCAGUGGCGAAGGCGGCUACCUGGACCAAGACUGACACUGAGGCACGAAAGCGUGGGGAUCAAACAGGAUUAGAUACCCUGGUAGUCC